GCAAGCUGAGAAACGGCUAGCAAUCUAAGGAGGCAGCAGGCGCGCAAAUUACGCAAUGCAAGUACCCUUGCGACGUAGUGAAGAAAAAUAACGAUGUAGUUCUUAUUUACAAGAUCUACAAUUGGAAUGAGUACACUGUAAAUAUGUUAACGAGUAUCAAUUAGAGGGCAAGUCUGGUGCCAGCAGCCGCGGUAAUUCCAGCUCUAAUAGCGUAUAUUAAAGUUGUUGCGGUUAAAAAGCUCGUAGUUGGAUUUUUGGCUUUGCUCUUAAGUUAGGAUUACCGUUAAGGUUAGUUUGGCUAUCUAACAUACUUAGGUAUGGGUCACUAGCUGGUAUUCUUAUAGCUUAGAGCGGCCGUUUCGUCACUUUUAUAAGGUGCGAAACACGUCUAUUCGAUAUCAACUUCGGUUGAUAUUGCUUAGAUGAGUUUACCUUGAGAAAAUUAGAGUGCUCAAAGCAGGCGAAUCGUAUGUCGAAAGAUAUGCAUUAAUGCUUGAAUAAUGUUGCAUGGAAUAAUAGAAUAUGGCCUCGGUUCUAUUCUGUUGGUCUUGUAGAACAACAAACAAGUUCGCUAAAUCUAAUAAUGUUAUCUGUUGGGUGGCAUCAAUUCUAGAUAUUUUUGCUUUUAGUAUAUUGUAUGUUGCCUUGUUCUUAUGGAUAAGUGCCAUCAAUUGCUAUUAGUGUAAGUAACUAUUGAUUGUGCCCGCUAGAAAAGCCCGUCAGGUAACAAGAUUUGCGAAUCGAGGCAAUGGUUAAGAGGGAUAGACGGGGGCAUUCGUACUGCAUCGCUAGAG
rnacentral:rRNA from 1 species